rnacentral:rRNA from 1 species
UACGGAGGGUGCAAGCGUUGUUCGGAUUUAUUGGGCGUAAAGGGCAGGUAGGUGGUCUCAUUUGUCUGGGGUGAAAUCCUUGAGCUUAACUCAAGAAGUGCCCCGGAAACGGUGAGACUGGAGUUCUGGAGAGGGUCGUGGAAUUCCCGGUGUAGCGGUGAAAUGCGUAGAGAUCGGGAGGAACACCAGAGGCGAAAGCGGCGACCUGGACAGAUACUGACACUCAACUGCGAAAGCGUGGGGAGCAAACAGG